rnacentral:rRNA from 1 species
AUUGAACGCUGGCGGCAGGCCUAACACAUGCAAGUCGAGCGGGGCGGCGGACGGGUGAGUAAUGCCUAGGUAUGUGCCUGGUAGUGGGGGAUAACGACCGGAAACGGGCGCUAAUAACGCAUACUUUCCGUUGAGCCUAGGCCGGAUUAGUUAGUUGGUGGGGUAAGGGCCUACCAAGCUGACGAUCCGUAACUGGUCUGAGAGGAUGAACAGUCACACUGGAACUGAGACACGGUCCAGACUCCUACGGGAGGCAGCAGUGGGGAAUAUUGGACAAUGGGCGAAAGCCUGAUCCAGCCAUGCCGCGUGUGUGAAGAAGGUCUUCGGAUUGUAAAGCACUUUAAGUUGGGAGGCGUUACCAACAGAAUAAGCACCGGCUAACUUCGUGCCAGCAGCCGCGGUAAUAC